rnacentral:rRNA from 1 species
CAACCUGGCGGCGUGCCUAUAAUGCAAGUCGAGCGGACCAUUGGAGCUUGCUCCAUUGGUUUAGCGGCGGACGGGUGAGUAACACGUAGGCAACCUGCCCUGCAGAUCGGGAUAACUCCGGGAAACCGGUGCUAAUACCGAAUAGUUUGCGGCCUCUCCUGAGGCUGCACGGAAAGACGGUUUCGGCUGUCACUGCAGGAUGGGCCCGCGGCGCAUUAGCUAGUUGGUGGGGUAAUGGCCCACCAAGGCCACGAUGCGUAGCCGACCUGAGAGGGUGAUCGGCCACACUGGGACUGAGACACGGCCCAGACUCCUACGGGAGGCAGCAGUAGGGAAUCUUCCGCAAUGGACGCAAGUCUGACGGAGCAACGCCGCGUGAGUGACGAAGGUUUUCGGAUCGUAAAACUCUGUUGUGAGGGAAGAACACGUACCAGCUAACUACUGGUACCUUGACGGUACCUCACCAGAAAGCCACGGCUAACUACGCGCCAGCAGCCGCGGUAAU